rnacentral:rRNA from 2 species
UUGACCUCGAAUCAGGUAGGGAUACCCGCUGAACUUAAGCAUAUCAAUAAGCG